rnacentral:rRNA from 1 species
UACGUAGGCAGCAAGCGUUGUUCGGAGUUACUGGGCGUAAAGCGCGUGUAGGCGGCCCGGUAAGUCCGCUGUGAAAGUCGGGGGCUCAACCCUCGGAUGCCGGUGGAUACUGUCGGGCUCGAGUACGGAAGAGGCGAGUGGAAUUCCUGGUGUAGCGGUGAAAUGCGCAGAUAUCGGGAGGAACACCGGUGGCGAAGGCGGUUCUCUGGGCCUUACCUGACACUGAGGAGCGAAAGCGUGGGGAGCGAACAGG